rnacentral:rRNA from 1 species
ACGCUCGACACCUACGGGAGGCCGCAGUAGGGAAUCUUCCACAAUGGACGCAAGUCUGAUGGAGCAACGCCGCGUGAGUGAAGAAGGUCUUCGGAUCGUAAAACUCUGUUGUUAGAGAAGAACACGAGUGAGAGUAACUGUUCAUUCGAUGACGGUAUCUAACCAGCAAGUCACGGCUAACUACGUGCUAGCAGCCGCGGUAAUCUGAGCGGGCUGGCAAGGC